AGGAAUGUAGUUAAAAUCAUAACAUUUAAUUUGCAAUUAAAAAUUAUUAAUAAAAACAUAUAAUCUUUCUUA
rnacentral:tRNA from 1 species